UACGGGGGGAGCAAGCGUUGUUCGGAUUUACUGGGCGUAAAGGGCGCGUAGGCGGCCUCCGCAAGUCACUUGUGAAAUCUCCGGGCUUAACUCGGAAAGGUCAACUGAUACUGCGGGGCUAGAGUGCGGAAGGGGCAACUGGAAUUCUUGGUGUAGCGGUGAAAUGCGUAGAUAUCAAGAGGAACACCUGCGGCGAAGGCGGGUUGCUGGGCCGACACUGACGCUGAGGCGCGAAAGCUAGGGGAGCGAACGGG
rnacentral:rRNA from 1 species